GACGAACGCUGGCGGCGUGCUUAACACAUGCAAGUCGAGCGGUAAGGCUCCUUCGGGAGUACACGAGCGGCGAACGGGUGAGUAACACGUGAGUAAUCUGCCCUUCACUUUGGGAUAACCGCCGGAAACGGUGGCUAAUACCGGAUACGACGCGCUUUCGCAUGAGAUGCGCGUGGAAAGUUUUCUCGGUGGAGGAUGUGCUCGCGGCCUAUCAGCUUGUUGGUGAGGUAACGGCUCACCAAGGCUUCGACGGGUAGCCGGCCUGAGAGGGUGACCGGCCACACUGCGACUGAGACGCGGCCCAGACGCCUACGGGAGGCAGCAGUGGGGAAUAUUGGACAAUGGGCGAAAGCCUGAUCCAGCAACGCCGCGUGAGGGAUGACGGCCUUCGGGUUGUAAUCCUCUUUCAGUACCGACGAAGCGCCAAUAACGGUGGUGACGGUAGGUACAGAAGAAGGACCGGCCAACUACGUGCCAGCCGCCGCAGUAAAAC
rnacentral:rRNA from 1 species